rnacentral:lncRNA from 1 species
CCCCACUCCCUCUCCCUCUCGCUCCUCUCCCCUCCAGAUCUGCCGCACCCGAGCGGGGAGGUCGACGCGCCCCGCCGUCAGCGCACUCCGGCGCUACCCCGAGCUGCGCCAGGACGUCUGGCUCCUCCGCCGUCGUCGUCUACAUCUCCUCAUCACGCUGGAUGGAGCCGAGCCGCUCCAUCACCGCCAACACCUCCGUCUUCUACCUCGGGCGGCUGAAAUUGCUACGGACUGCUCGUCGUCUCCGGGCCUUCCACGGGCCUUCUCUGCAACGCCGGUGAGCUCCGGCUCCCUUCUCUCCAUUGGCGCCUUCCUCCGCGUUCGUAGCCGUAUUCGUCGUAGUUACCGUACCUGCCGCCGCGGUCGAGCUCGGUUGCCUGUGUCGAAGCUAUGCAUCUGCGCGCGCGCGCCCGCCCCUGACCCCGCGGCUACCUGCCUCUGCGCCCACACCGUCAUCGCUCGCCGCACGCUGCUAGCUGCUCCGCUCGCCAUGCCUCGCAUCGCCCGUGCCGCGUCGUCCCGCUCGCCCCUUCUUCCGCUUCCUCUGCCCGCCGCAGCCGGACCUGCCCGAUACGGCUGCUCGACCUGCUGUUGCUGCUGCCGCGGCCCCGCACAGCCGCGUGCGUGCCCAGCCACCGCCGCGCCCAUGCCCGGUGCCCGCUCGUCAGCCCCGCACCGGCGCCCGCCCUUGCUGCUCUGCGCUGCUGCAGCUUAUGAUGCUAACCGCCGCCGACUGCAGCUCGUCUGAGCUCCUGCUCGCGCGCCCGCCUUCGCCUCCCACGCGUGCUCGUCGGGGCCCGUAGCCCCCACUGCCGUCGCCGCCCCCCACUGCUCCGCUCGCGACGCCGCGCCUGUUCGCCCCCUCCUGCCGCGCUUGCCUGGCCCAGGCCGCGCCUGUUCGCCCCCUCCCACCGCUCGCCGGUGCUGGCCGCCCCCCCGACCUCGCCGGCUGCCGGCGCCCUGCCGCGCCCUGGUGGCCAUCGCCGGCCACGGCUUCGCCCGUGUGUUCGGGCGGGCGCCCACACCCUCUUGCCCGAUAGCCAGCGCCCGCUAUGGCCUCUGGCCCAAUGCCAGGUGGGCCCCAGCCCGGUAAAAAAAGUAAUACAAAAUAUAUAUUAAUAAAAUUAAUUAAUUAGUUAAUUAGUUAAAUUAUUAAUUAAUCUUAAUUAAACUAAUGAACUAGAUUAGUUAAUUUAAUCAGUAGUUAGGUAAAUGUGUGUAUGACAGGGGGCCCCAACCCUGUUGACCAGUCAAACUUUGACUGGUCAACUGGGUCCCCCUGGCCCGCAUGUCACCCUCUGGUACACUUCUGUGUACACAGAUCUGGGUGCACAUAGCAUUUGAGCUAUUUAAUUUCGAAUUAAUAACAAAUUCAGAAUAUUGUUUAAAUUUAUGAAAAAUCGUAGAAAUUAAUCUGUAACUCGGAUGAAAAGUUUUUAUACAUGAAAGUUGCUCAGAACGACGAGGCGAAUCGGAAUACGCGGUCCGUUCAUGUGUCACAUGCCCCUAUCACAGCGAACAUCGAACUUUUCCCCUCCGGUUCGUCUGUCCGAAAAUGCCUAACUCCGGGAAAACUUUCCGGAUGUUAUUCCCCUUCGCCGGUAUCGUCUAGCACUGCGUUAGAACCACCCUAGCCCUGCGUGUUACCCGUCAUGCAUCUGUGUUGCAUCUGUUUGCAUUAUAUUUACUAUUUCUUGCUCCUCUUCUUUCUGGUAGACACCGAGACCGCUGCUGAUGCCCCUGGGAUCGACUACGUCGACGAUGACCCCUCUUCCCUUUCAGCGGAGCUUCCAGGCAAGCCCCCCCUUUGAUCAUCCCGAUAUCGCCCAUUCCAUUCUCUCAUGCUUGCAUUAGAUUUUGCUACUUAUAUUGUUUGCUCCUAUUCUGAUGCAUAGCCUGCUUUUGUAACCUGCUCAUUGUACCUUACCUGCUUAUCCUAAACUGCUUAGUAUAGGUUGGUUAGUGAUCCAUCAGUGACCCCCACCUUGUCCUUGUUGCCCUGCUUCAUCUUUGAUGACUCGAUCAACGUGAUCGAUGACCAGAGCCUGACACCUCACAUCACAUCACGCCCUUUUUGUUGCUCGACUCUGCAGAGCUACUAUCGAGUGCCGAGGGUGAUCCCUCAUAACGCACUCCUGGUGGUAAUUCUGUAGUGUAGCUAUUCAGUCGUGGUCAUCGAGGGUGAUUUCCUCUUUCACCAUUUCUGAUACGGCUCUGCCGUGCAACACCUCAAGUGUCAACCUCGAGGGUGGCCCCUCUUACGUUCACCUUGAUGAUUACAUUGAGUGGAAUCCACCGGGGUGAUUCCUCGGGUUUUCCCCUUGAUGUUUGGACACACGGUUACCUUAACUUUACUUGAGACCAUUGUUGAAGUCGGGUCGGCCCUGAGGGGUACCCGCGAGUUGAUGUGAAAGUCGGGUGGGCCCGUUGAGCACCCGCGAGUUUUCUACGUGGCACGGCCGGGCAGUCUGGGCCCUUGCCGUAAGUCCAUGAGACGGGGCGACGGGGUCACAUUAUCGUGAGUCUCUGCUCGUCUCCGCGAGCCCCCAAUGCACUAACAGGUUUGGGUAUUUUUUCUGAGUUGGCCUCUGGCCUUUACGCACCAACCACCACGCGAGAAUAGUUAUGGGCCUCGACGUCGUAGUAUCAGCCGAAGCUUUGUGAGACGUCCAGUUCAGCAUUGCGGCACGGCUGGGCCGGCACCAACCUGUAGUGGUGGAGCCUGGACCCGCCCUGCAUGUAACGACCCGGAAUGCAACGGGCGAUGGGCCCAGACCCCGGAGUGCUUAGGAUGUAGACCGGCGGGGACCUCUCUGCUAAGCCUAGGUAGGGCUACGACGUGUUGAUUUUCCGAGGCCGGGCAUUGACCCAGAAAAGUGUGUCCGGCCAGAGUAAUCAAGCGUGUUGGAAAACGUGGUGCACCCCUGCAGGGAAGAUAUAUACUCAAAUACCGUGUCCACGGUAAUGGACGUCCAGACUUGUAUCCCGAUCUUAUAUAACUAGAAAUGGAUACUUGAGACAUGAGAUGGUUAUGUGGCUCCGGGAUUGCUUUCUCGUAGGUAGUCAAGGAAGGAUCUCUGGGCGUUAAUGCUACAACAUGUUUGUUAAAUAUAAACUGCUAUUCUUUACUCUUCUACAUGCUGCAAGAUGCUUGGAGCUGCUUGAAGAUGCUAGUCUUCGAUAGGCUAGGCCUUCCCUUCUAUUCUGGCAUUCUGCAGUUCUGUCCACAGAUACAACCCUUCCAUUUGAUACCAAUGCGUACUUAGUAUAGAUCUGAUGCUUGCGAGUACUUUGGAUGAGUACUCACGGUUGCUUUGCUUCCCCUUUCGCCCCUUCUUUCUUCUUUCUGGUUGUUGCAACCAGAUGGUGGACCCCAGGAGUCAGAUGCCACCCCCGCCGACUACGACUACUACCCUGCGGGUGCCUACUACUAUGUGGAGACCGCCGACGACCAGGAGUAGUUAGGAGGUCCCAGGCAGGAGGCCUUGCCUCUUCGAUCGUGUUGCUUUUGGUGCUAGCCUUCUUAAGACAUCCUUGUUUAACCUAUGUCUGUACUCAGAUAUUGUUGCUUCCGAUGACGCUUGUAUUCGAGCUUCUGUAUUCGAGCCCUCGAGGCCCCUGGCUUGUAAUAUGAAGCUUGUAUUAUUUCAAUUAGUGUUUAGAGUUGUGUUGUGAUAUCUUCCCGUGAGUCCCUGAUCUUGAUCGUACACGUUUGCGUGUAUGAUUUGUGUACGGUCGAAUCGGGGGCGUCACAAGUUGCUAUCGGAGCCGACUGCAUGUAGGAACCCCCUUUCCAACUCCUUGGCCGAAGUUGAGUCUAGUCUUUGAAAAACCGAUUUACUAACAUGGCUGUGUGGUUUCCGGGCCCACAUCGCCAUUGGGUGGUAUUAGGAUCUUUUACUCCUCGACCUUUACUCUGGGAUUCUGAUCUCUCUUCUACUCGGGUUAAAUGAUUUUACUAAAUCUAACAUUAGGAUCUCAUGAUCACAUCCACCCAGAGAUUUGUAUUACCCUUUUCUCGAAUUGGGAGCCAAGUUCUGCUUCACAAUAUUCACUGACCGCAGGAUCCUCUUGUCGAGGGCACCCUACGUCAUCACUUGCUAAUCCCUCACUCCAUAGGUUUUCCCUGACAUUGAUGUAGCCUUCGCUAUGUCCCGUUGUUGUAUCCCUCCAUCGCGUGCACGCGUGCCACCUAGCAUGUCUGGGAUGUUUCUCUUGUCCGAACUCAUUCGAACAUCGUGUAACUGGCUCUAUAUAUGUAUCAGUAUGUCUUUAAUGACUACUGCCUUGUACAUACCGCGCCUUUGCUCGAUGUUCAAAUUACAUCAUGAAUAACUCCAUACACCUACUCCACCCCUUGUUAAACCGCUUCCUCAUGUUUUAAGCAGGAUGGUUAGACCCGCUAGUUAUGGCCGUGGUGGCGACAAUCCACCAUCGCCCAAAUUCAUGGCCGGAAUGAGACAACAGUUUGAUGCUAAAUCGAGUUCAUGGUAGGAUUUAUGGCUCAGUUCCCGCGCCCAAAUAUGAAUCAGCAACCCGCCCCAGUGACACUGCAAGACUUUGCACGUCUCAACCCUAUAAUCUACCGCAGCUCAACUCAGUCCCUUACUGCUGAUGAUUGGCUCUGUGACAUCACUUUCGAGUUGGAGUCGGCUGUUGUAGCCCCUGCCAACUAUGUCACCUUCGCGGCUUAUUACCUGAAAGGUCCCGCUGCUCAAUGGUGGGACAACCACAAGCAUUCCUUACCCGUUGAAACUGCCAUCACUUGGCCAAAAUUUCCAGCUGCAUCCUGUGGUCCAAAGUUGAACCACCAUGGUUAGUCACAACGUCCCCGUUGAAGUUGAAGGGCUGAAAUUCCAUGUUUCCCCCAUUGUUUUGAAGUCGUCCAAUAUCGACCUCAUUCUGGGCAUGGAAUGGAUGAAAGCACAUACUGCUUCUAUCAUUUGCACUACUAAAACUGUCUAUCUACUGCAUCAUUCGAGUGAGAUAGUAAGCUAAGAGGCUCAUCUUGUUCGAAAUACCGAAGCACAGAUUUAUUCCUUGAACGCGUAAACACUUCUCCUCUUGUGAGAAUUGGAAACGCUCCAGUCGUUUGUGAAUUCCAGGAUAUCUUUCGAGAAGAACUACCCAGUCCAUGGCCUUGAACUUGAUGCAGUUAAGUUUGCACUGAAAUUGUGGCAACAUUUCCUUCUUGGUAAUCGUUGCGAGAUCUUUACCGGUCAUCAAAGUCUGAAGUAUUUGUUUACUCAGCUAGAUCUGUAUCUCCGAAAGCAGCGAUGUAUGGAAGCCAUCAUAGACUAUGACUAUGGUAUUUCUUAUACCGCUGGGAAGGCUAAUGUCAUGGCCGAUGUCCUGAUCGCAUGUCUUAUUGCAACAAUCCCAUGGCUUCUAAAGCUCAACCCCUGCAAGAUGAUCUCACUUACAGAGAGCAUCAGGUCCGCGUUCUCGGUCAAACUGAACAUCGCACCGUGAGAGGGCUUUCAAAAUUCUAAAAGGUUGAGUGGUGAAAUCAUUCUGAAGAUGAAGCCACUUGGGAACUCGAGGGUCGUCUUUGAGAUGAAUACCCCGCUUUUGUUUCCUUCUACCUCCUAAAACUCGGGGCGAGAUUUCUUGUAGUGGAAGAGAAUUGUGACGCUCGGAUAAUUAAGCUACAGUAAUCCCAUGUUAAUGGUGCCAUGUCAUCACAUUACUAUUGCUAAUCCUCACUUAUCCAAAUCAUGAUUCAAAUUCAAAUUCAAAUUAAUGUCCAAAGUUCAAAUUUCUCAAACAUGCAAAAUAAAAUGUUCAAAGUGUGGCAAAUAUUCCAUAACUAAUUAUGGUGGUGACCCAACACUUUUGUGAAGUACUUAAAUGCCCUUUUGCGAAUAAAAUAGUGACUUAGAAAAUUAAUUAAAUGCCUUUUAUAAUUUCUAAAAUAGCAAACUACUUUAAGUAAAGUCCAAACUUUUUGUGGCACUCUAUAUAAUUGCAUCUCUAAUUGCGGGCCAAGUCUCAUUUUUUCUUGGAGGUCAUUUGCUAUUUGAAAAUGAAUUAUAACAGAAGCUAUAAAAGAAAAAUAUGGCAGAAAAGAAAAGGAGGAGGACCUAAGCUACUGGGCUUGUUAGCCCACCUAACUAAAGGCCGGCCCACAUACCCCUCCUCCCUCCUCCUGUUCAUGGGGAGGGGGCCGUGGCAGCCAUCCACGGUGCCUUGCCGCGGUGGCAGCCAUCGGUCGGCUCCUCCCCCUACAUCUACCACGGCACCCCCCAUCGACCCCUCUGUCGAACCCUAGUCUCCCCCACUCCCUCUCCCUCUCGCUCCUCUCCCCUCCAGAUCCGCCGCACCCUAACGGGGAGGUCAACGCGCCCCGCCGUCAGCGCACUCUGGCGCUACCCCGAGCUGCGCCAGGACGUCUGGCUCCUCCGCCGUCGUCGUCUACAUCUCCUCAUCACGCUGGAUGGAGCCGAGCCGCUCCAUCACCGCCAACACCUCCGUCUUCUACCUCGGGCGGCUGAAAUCGCUGCGGACUGCUCGUCGUCUCCGG